rnacentral:rRNA from 1 species
CUGGCCUUGACAUGCACGGAACCUUCCAGAGAUGGGAGGGUGCCUUCGGGAACCGUGACACAGGUGCUGCAUGGCUGUCGUCAGCUCGUGUCGUGAGAUGUUGGGUUAAGUCCCGCAACGAGCGCAACCCUUGUCCUUAGUUGCCAGCACGUAAAGGUGGGAACUCUAAGGAGACCGCCGGUGACAAACCGGAGGAAGGUGGGGAUGACGUCAAGUCCUCAUGGCCCUUACGGCCAGGGCUACACACGUACUACAAUGGUCGGUACAGAGGGUUGCCAAGCCGCGAUGUGGAGCCAAUCCCAGAAAACCGAUCUCAGUCCGGAUCGGAGUCUGCAACUCGACUCCGUGAAGUCGGAAUCGCUAGUAAUCGCGGAUCAGCAAUGCCGCGGUGAAUACGUUCCC